rnacentral:rRNA from 1 species
GGGUUGUGAGGUUAAGCGAACAAGCGUACACGGUGGAUGCCCUGGCAGUCAGAGGCGAUGAAGGACGUGCUAAUCUGCGAAAAGCGCCGGUAAGGUGAUAUGAACCGUUAUAACCGGCGAUGUCCGAAUGGGGAAACCCGGUGCACUUCGGUGCAUCAUCGUUAGCUGAAUACAUAGGCUAACGAGGCGAACCGGGGGAACUGAAACAUCUAAGUACCCCGAGGAAAAGAAAUCAACCGAGAUUCCCCCAGUAGCGGCGAGCGAACGGGGAACAGCCCAGAGCCUGAAUCAGCUUGUGUGUCAGUGGAACGGUCUGGAAAGGCCGGCGAUACAGGGUGACAGCCCCGUACACGAAGGCACACAGG